UUAGCUCUCUUUGCCUUUUGGCUUAGAUCAAGUGUAGUAUCUGGUAUGUUUUCACUGAAACGGGACAUUCAGACGCAUUUGCUGACCUUCAACCUUCUAGUUCUUUUCAGUUUAAUCUCUGAAACGUCACUACGGUGACAUUCUAUGAUUAUACUUAUUUUUGGACCUCCGUCGGUGGCCGCUGGGCUUGCUCAUGUCACUGACGACCGUGUCGCCAGUAUUGCACUGCCUCUGGCUGACGCGAACUACUU
rnacentral:snRNA from 2 species